ensembl:lncRNA
UGUGGAUUAAGGCUGCCCCAGCUAGAGAAGCCCAAGGUGACCUGGCCUACAUGCCAAACUAUAUGACCCAGUGGACUUUUUUAUGGUAUGAAUUAGGACUGCCCCAGGGAGAGAAGCCCGGGGCAUCCUCACCUGCAUGCCGAUCUAUAUGGCCAGAUUCGUAUCUAAAGUUAUAUGACCGCACAAUAACCAGACCCCAUCUGCACUGAAAUCAUUUAAUGACUUUUUACAUCAUCUUUUUCUUUUUCUUUUUUUUCCAGUAAAAAUAAGUCACGUACCCAUGCCUUAUAAAAUUAGCCCUAACCCUCAACUCAGGGCAGCAGCAGGAGCUCUGACUGCCUGUGGGUCUUGUCCCCACACAUCAGCUCUGCCUGCCCAUGGGUCCUGUCCCCAUGCAGAGGCAGCAGCAGGAGCUCUGACCACCCGUGGGUCCUGUCCCCACGCACCAGCUCUGCCUGCCCAUGGGUCCUGUCCCCAUGCUAUUCCACACUAUUCUCUAAAUAAAAGAGCACUACUGCCAGAUCUUAAGAGUCUAAGAAAUCUUUCUUUUGACCCUAGGCUCACCGACCCCGCAUCAUUUCUGGUGGCCCGUACGGGGACUUGCUUCAUCGGCUUGUGAGCUCGAGUUCUGUUUCACCUCCUGGACCACCACUCGUCAAAUGAUUCUCUCGUCCCCAGAGGCUCUGGAUGCCUUGUCAGCCUUGGACUCCACGGGUGCAGUCUUCCGGUCCGCUGAACCUCCUACCUAUACCUAUGGCCCCAUUUAGGGACAGCUCUACGACCUUGUACAGCCGGAAGUAGUUACAGAAGACUGACCGUCGUCCAUAUCCCCAAAAGAUUUUGGGGCCAAAUGGGUUCAGGGGGGGUUUAUGAUGUGGAUUAAGGCUGCCCCAGCUAGAGAAGCCCAAGGUGACCUGGCCUACAUGCCAAACUAUAUGACCCAGUGGACUUUUUUAUGGUAUGAAUUAGGACUGCCCCAGGGAGAGAAGCCCGGGGCAUCCUCACCUGCAUGCCGAUCUAUAUGGCCAGAUUCGUAUCUAAAGUUAUAUGACCGCACAAUAACCAGACCCCAUCUGCACUGAAAUCAUUUAAUGACUUUUUACAUCAUCUUUUUCUUUUUCUUUUUUUUCCAGUAAAAAUAAGUCACGUACCCAUGCCUUAUAAAAUUAGCCCUAACCCUCAACUCAGGGCAGCAGCAGGAGCUCUGACUGCCUGUGGGUCUUGUCCCCACACAUCAGCUCUGCCUGCCCAUGGGUCCUGUCCCCAUGCAGAGGCAGCAGCAGGAGCUCUGACCACCCGUGGGUCCUGUCCCCACGCACCAGCUCUGCCUGCCCAUGGGUCCUGUCCCCAUGCCAGCAGGGGCAGCAGAAGCGGCGGCAGCAGAAGCUCUGACUGCCCAUGGGUCCUGUCCCCAUGCUAUUCCACACUAUUCUCUAAAUAAAAGAGCACUACUGCCAGAUCUUAAGAGUCUAAGAAAUCUUUCUUUUGACCCUCGGCUCACCGACCCCGCAUCACCCACCUGGAGGUAGCUAGCACUUACUUGGGCACAAUUGAAUAAAUUCUCAAUGUACAUUCAACCAUCUCUCUCUCUUAUCUUUUUUUAAAAUGUUCUUUAACCUGACUGGGGAUUUUACUAUAGAGAGUUCUUCAGAUUGCUGUAUUCACUUAGCAAUGCAUCUUGGACAGCUUCCACUGUCCCUACAUUUGGGAGAUCCUCAUCGGGCGAUUGAUUUCCCAGUUGAGUUCCUUCUUGACAGCUCUUCGUGUUUCCUUACAUUUCCUGUUUUGGGCAAUGGUGAAAUGAAACUAGAUCUUAG